rnacentral:rRNA from 1 species
CAGCCGCCGCGGGAAUACGAAGGGGGCUAGCGUUGUUCGGAAUUACUGGGCGUAAAGGGCGCGUAGGCGGUCUGUCGCGUCUGCUGUGAAAACCCGAGGCUCAACCUCGGGCCUGCAGUGGGUACGGGCAGACUAGAGUGCGGUAGGGGAGAACGGAACUCCUGGUGUAGCGGUGGAAUGCGCAGAUAUCAGGAGGAACACCGAUGGCGAAGGCAGUUCUCUGGGCCGUAACUGACGCUGAGAAGCGAAAGCGUGGGGAGCGAACAGGAUUAGAGACCCCUGUAGUCCCUGUCUCUUAUAC